rnacentral:rRNA from 1 species
UUCGCCUGUUUUAACAAAAACAUAGGGCUCUGCGAAGCAUCAAUGCGACGUAUAGGGUCUGACGCCUGCCCGGUGCCUGAAGGUUAAAGGGAGGAGUGAAAGCUCCGAACUGAAGCCCAGGUAAACGGCGGCCGUAACUAUAACGGUCCUAAGGUAGCGAAAUUCCUUGUCGGGUAAGUUCCGACCUGCACGAAUGGCGUAACGACUUCCCCACUGUCUCCAGCACAGGCUCAGUGAAAUUGAAUUCCCCGUGAAGAUGCGGGGUUCCCGCGGUCAGACGGAAAGACCCUAUGAACCUUUACUAUAGCUUCGCCUUGGCGUUAGCGACCGUAUGUGUAGGAUAGGUGGGAGGCUAUGAAGCCGGGGCGCCAGCUCUGGUGGAGCCAUCCUUGAAAUACCACCCUUACUGUCGUUGACGUCUAACCGAGGGCCGUUAUCCGGUCCCGGGACAUGGCGUGGUGGGUAGUUUGACUGGGGCGGUCGCCUCCCAAAGUGUAACGGAGGCGCGCGAUGGUUAGCUCAGACCGGUCGGAAAUCGGUCGUCGAGUGCAAUGGCAUAAGCUAGCCUGACUGCGAGACUGACAAGUCGAGCAGAGACGAAAGUCGGCCAUAGUGAUCCGGUGGUCCCGCGUGGAAGGGCCAUCGCUCAACGGAUAAAAGGUACUCUAGGGAUAACAGGCUGAUUUUGCCCAAGAGUCCAUAUCGACGGCAAAGUUUGGCACCUCGAUGUCGGCUCAUCACAUCCUGGGGCUCACCGUACCAAAGUCCGGCGGGAAUAUUUGGUUUUAAAAAAUG